rnacentral:rRNA from 1 species
CUACGGGAUGCUGCAGUGGGGAAUAUUGGACAAUGGGCGCAAGCCUGAUCCAGCAAUGCCGCGUGUGUGAAGAAGGCCUGCGGGUUGUAAAGCACUUUCAGUUGGGAGGAAAAGCCUAAGGCUAAUACCCUUGGGUCUUGACGUUACCAUCAGAAGAAGCACCGGCUAACUCCGUGCCAGCAGCCGCGGUAUACGGAGGGUGCAAGCGUUAUUCGGAAUUACUGGGCGUAAAGGGCGCGUAGGUGGUUCUGUAAGUCGGGUGUGAAAGCCCCGGGCUCAACCUGGGAAUUGCAUUCGAUACUGCAGAACUAGAGUAUGGUAGAGGGAAGUAGAAUUCCCGGUGUAGCGGUGAAAUGCGUAGAUAUCGGGAGGAAUACCAGUGGCGAAGGCGGCUUCCUGGACCAAUACUGACACUGAGGCGCGAAAGCGUGGGUAGCAAACAGGAUUAGAUACCCCGGUAGUC